rnacentral:rRNA from 1 species
AGUGAACGCUGGCGGUAUGCCUAACACAUGCAAGUCGAACGGCAGCACAUUAAUAGCUUGCUCUUACGGGUGGCGAGUGGCGGACGGGUGAGGAAUACAUCGGAAUCUACUUUUUCGUGGGGCAUAACGUAGGGAAACUUACGCUAAUACCUCAUACCACCUACGGGGGAAAGCAGGGGAUUUUCCGACCUUGCGCGAUUGAAUGAGCGUAUGUCGGGUUAGCUAGUCGGCGGGGUAAAGGCCUACCAAGGCGACGAUACCUACCUGGUAUGCAAUGAUGAUCAGCCACACUGGAAGUAAGACACGGUCCAGAAUCCUACGCGAGGCCCUAGACGGGAAUAUUAGCCAAAGGGCGGAAACCUGACACAGCAAUACCACGUGAGUGAAGAAGGAGUGCAGUUUGUAAAGACGAUUUGUUGGGAAAGAAAAGCAGGAGGUUAAUACCACGCUGUUCUGACGGUACCAAAUGAAUAAGCACCGGCUAACUCCGUG